UACAGAGGUCCCAAGCGUUGUUCGGAUUCAUUGGGCGUAAAGGGUGCGUAGGCGGCGCGGUAAGUCGGGUGUGAAAUCUCUGAGCUUAACUCAGAACGGCCAAGUGAUACUGCAGUGCUAGAGUGCAGAAGGGGCAAUCGGAAUUCUUGGUGUAGCGGUGAAAUGCGUAGAUAUCAAGAGGAACACCUGAGGUGAAGACGGGUUGCUAGGCUGACACUGACGCUGAGGCGCGAAAGCCAGGGGAGCAAACGGG
rnacentral:rRNA from 1 species